rnacentral:lncRNA from 10 species
UCAUGAUCUAAUUACCUCCCCAAGGCCUAAUUACCUCAUAACAUCAUAUUGGGGUUUAGAAUUUCAACAUACGAGUUUUAGGAGGACACAAACAUUCAGUCUAUUGCAUCAGUUAUAGAAAAUCUCCCUCACCGUUAUCAAAGGGUAGAAACAAGAGCAAAUAGAAGUUUAAUCAAUGGAUAGAGGAGGAGCCAAGAUGGCCGAAUAGGAACAGCUCUGGUCUACAGCUCCCAGCGUGAGCGACGCAG